GUGUGGUCUGGAGGUCCAAGGAUGAGGAGGGAAGUGAGGAGAGACAGGUUUUGUCCAGAGAGGUGGUGUAGACUYAGAGGAUUCAAUGAGGUGGCGUGGACCCAGAGGAGCAAAAUAGAAAUUUUUUACAUAAAACGUAUUUCGUCUUAAAAGAUGUGACGUGCAUUUUCAUGCAAAUGGGAGUCCGAUGAAGAAGACAUAAUGGUGAAAUGAUGAGAAAAGGGACUGGACAAGGUGGCUAAAUCUCUGAAA